rnacentral:rRNA from 1 species
GACGAACGCUGGCGGCGUGCUUAACACAUGCAAGUCGAACGGAAAGGCCCUGCUUGCAGGGUACUCGAGUGGCGAACGGGUGAGUAACACGUGGGUGAUCUGCCCUGCACUUCGGGAUAAGCCUGGGAAACUGGGUCUAAUACCGGAUAGGAGCCAUUUUUAGUGUGAUGGUUGGAAAGUUUUUUCGGUGUAGGAUGAGCUCGCGGCCUAUCAGCUUGUUGGUGGGGUAAUGGCCUACCAAGGCGGCGACGGGUAGCCGGCCUGAGAGGGUGGACGGCCACAUUGGGACUGAGAUACGGCCCAGACUCCUACGGGAGGCAGCAGUGGGGAAGAUUGAACAAUGGGCGCAAGCCUGAUGCAGCGACGCCGCGUGGGGGAUGACGGCCUUCGGGUUGUAAACUCCUUGCGCUAGGGACGAAGCUUUUUGUGACGGUACCUAGAUAAGAAGCACCGGCUAACUACGUG